GCACCAUUGGCCGAGCGGAUAAGGCAAACGACUCAUAAUCGUUGAUAGGUAGGUUCAACCCCUACAUGGUGCA
rnacentral:tRNA from 1 species